GCUCUUUCCACAGCUGCUCCUCUUGCAGGGGCGACGUGUCCCACGGCUGGGCGGGACUGAGGCAACACCAGACGGAAAAUACUGAGUGCAACCUGGGGAUCCUCUACUGCUCAAUCAGCAAGUGGCAGCUGUGGUCAGGAGGUUCAUAUCGUAUACCAGUUGUGCCCUUCCCUCAAGUGGGACACCCUUCAGAUGCUCACUAACACCUUGAUUACCUUCUGCCUGGAAUAUUGCAAUAAAAUUAUACUCUACAUGGUGCUGCCCUUGAAGAUCAUCAAAAGCUACAGUUGAUGCAAAGUGAAUAAUUUUAUUAUGCCCAUGUGUCAUUGUUGCUCCAUGAACUAUACUGGUUGCUAUAGUAAGCUUCUGGAUAAAAUGAAAGGUGCUGGUUGUCAACUAUAAAGCUCUUUAUGGCACAGGUACUGGUCAUCUGCAGGAUUUCCUAUUCCCAAUUAUUUCUAUUCACCCAGUACAAUGCUGUGUUUGUCCAUGUACAAUUUAUUUAUAUGGUCUGUUUAAAUAAAGCUUUAUUGUUUGACUUUACACUCAAGAGUUGUUGAUAAGUGAUUUAAUAGCAUUUGGGGAUUUCAUUUCUGAUAUAAAAAUAGUUAUUAAAGCUGGAUUAUAAACUGAAGUCUACAAAUACAAUAAAUUAUAAGAUAUUUUAUAAGUA